GGAAGGGGCAGUAGAGAAGGAAUUGUAUGGAGGACUUGGCAUAAUAUGCAACUGGUUAAAUAACUAUUAAAAUUUUCUUGGCCAAAAUUCUAGUUUACCUCCAAAUCCUUCAGGGGUACAAAAAGAAGAUAACAGCUUUUAACAAGUAUCUUCUUGGAAAAGAGGCAUUAUGAUAUAGUUUCAUACAUUCAGGUAUUCUCAAAAUGGUGUAAUAUUAAUCCUUACUGAUUUCAGUCAAGCCAUAAUUAUACAGAUAAGUCUGAUGCUACAGGAAAUUCAACAAACGAGUUGUCAUUACCAGUACAGGCAGGAAGAUCAGCUC
rnacentral:misc_RNA from 1 species